rnacentral:rRNA from 1 species
CCUACGGGAGACAGCAGUGGGGAAUAUUGCGCAAUGGGCGAAAGCCUGACGCAGCGACGCUGCGUGAGGGAUGAAGGUCUUCGGAUCGUAAACCUCUGUCAGCAGGGAAGAACGGUCACUGUGCUAAUCAGCAGUGAAUUGACGGUACCUGCAAAGGAAGCACCGGCUAACUCCGUGCCAGCAGCCGCGGUAAUACGGAGGGUGCGAGCGUUAAUCGGAAUUACUGGGCGUAAAGCGCUCGUAGGCGGUAUGUCAAGUCAAGGGUGAAAUCCCCGCGCUCAACGUGGGAACUGCCUUUGAAACUGGCAAACUGGAGUGUGUGAGAGGAUAGUGGAAUUCCAGGUGUAGGAGUGAAAGCCGUAGAUAUCUGGAGGAACAUCAGUGGCGAAGGCGACUAUCUGGCACAUAACUGACGCUGAGGAGCGAAAGCGUGGGUAGCAAACAGGAUUAGAUACCCUUGUAGUC